UACGGAGGGAGCUAGCGUUGUUCGGAAUUACUGGGCGUAAAGCGCGCGUAGGCGGCUUUGUAAGUUAGAGGUGAAAGCCCGGGGCUCAACUCCGGAACUGCCUUUAAGACUGCAUCGCUAGAAUCCGGGAGAGGUGAGUGGAAUUACGAGUGUAGAGGUGAAAUUCGUAGAUAUUCGGAAGAACACCAGUGGCGAAGGCGGCUCACUGGACCGGUAUUGACGCUGAGGUGCGAAAGCGUGGGGAGCAAACAGG
rnacentral:rRNA from 1 species